UAGAGGCCGGUAAGUCUGAGAAUUUGA
rnacentral:piRNA from 1 species